GUCCUGGUGGGCCCAAUGCCGACUCCAGAAUAGACCCGCGAAAAUUUUGAAGAAGCUCGUGAAAAAGUAACAGAACUAAAAACCAAGUACAUGGAAAAGCGCACGAAGCCUGAGGAGUUAUUUACCAAACGUGGUUAUCUAUUUUUAAUGGAAAAAAACUAACGUCAAG
rnacentral:misc_RNA from 1 species